GAAGUUUUCAGAGAUGAGAAUGUGCCUUCGGGAACCGGUGAGACAGGUGCUGCAUGGCUGUCGUCAGCUCGUGUUGUGAAAUGUUGGGUUAAGUCCCGCAACGAGCGCAACCCUUAUCCUUUGUUGCCAGCGGUCCGGCCGGGAACUCAAAGGAGACUGCCAGUGAUAAACUGGAGGAAGGUGGGGAUGACGUCAAGUCAUCAUGGCCCUUACGACCAGGGCUACACACGUGCUACAAUGGCGCAUACAAAGAGAAGCGACCUCGCGAGAGCAAGCGGACCUCAUAAAGUGCGUCGUAGUCCGGAUUGGAGUCUGCAACUCGACUCCAUGAAGUCGGAAUCGCUAGUAAUCGUGGAUCAGAAUGCCACGGUGAAUACGUUCCCGGGCCUUGUACACACCGCCCGUCACACCAUGGGAGUGGGUUGCAAAAGAAGUAGGUAGCUUAACCUUCGGGAGGGCGCUUACCACUUUGUGAUCCAUGACUGGGGUGAAGUCGUAACAAGGUAACCGUAGGGGAACCUGCGGUUGGAUCACCUCCUUACCUUAAAGAAGC
rnacentral:rRNA from 1 species